AAAGAUCUAAUUCUGUCCUGAUAUAUACAUUGAGUCAGUUGUAGUCAUUUACUUAACUUUCUGGCCAACUCCCUAAAUUCCAUGAUGUCUUAUGGGCGCGACUGAAAAAAGAUCAGUGUGUAGAUAGGCUAGAAGCUAAAUAAUAAUACAUUGCAAAACAAAAGGCAGGGUGACACCUUUUGUCUUUUUUAUUGUUUCCUCUUCAGGUGGAAUGAGAAGAUACUCCUUUCUAGAUUAAUUUAUUGGAAAAACUGCAGACAAAAAGAUGUUAGCUGACUAACUACUGACCUCUGAAGUUGCAUUCCACUGAGUCAGGUCUCCUGGAGCCUGCAGAAAAUGAGGCCGGAAGAAUCGUUCCUGAAUUGGUUCAUUUUCAUCACCACUGUCCCUUGAUCGAGAUCGUGGUCUUAAAAUAACAUGAAAUAAAGGUCCAGUGGGCUCCAUUCUGGAGCCAGCUGCUGCCUACAGCAAUAUCCUGUGUAAAGAAGAGGAGCUACUCAAAUGUCCUCCAAAGACCUCUUUUAUCAAUGACACAUUACAGUAAAAUUCUCUUAUUUGAAUCCUACAUCCUGUUAACUUUUGCCAGUGUUUCUGUUUUGGCUGCUGUUUGCAGUGUCCAUGCUGCAGUUCAGGUGCCCAUAUGCAUUUUCUACUGCCCAAGGUAAUUUCUCCAAGUCAAAAUAAUCUCAAUAAAAAAGAGCCUAAACCCCUCAA